rnacentral:rRNA from 1 species
UUUUAUGAGAGUUUGAUCCUGGCUCAGGACGAACGCUGGCGGCGUGCCUAAUACAUGCAAGUCGAACGCUUCUUUUUCCACCGGAGCUUGCUCCACCGGAAAAAGAGGAGUGGCGAACGGGUGAGUAACACGUGGGUAACCUGCCCAUCAGAAGGGGAUAACACUUGGAAACAGGUGCUAAUACCGUAUAACAAUCAAAACCGCAUGGUUUUGAUUUGAAAGGCGCUUUCGGGUGUC